CCUCUGUUUACUUUUUCUCAGAUAAUGAUAUGGACACCUAUAAACAAAGCUAGACAGCAAAGAACCAUGACAGAAAAAUCCAAAGGACAGACAUAAUUAUCCGGGUUCUCUAUGAGGCUGUGGCACAAUACACAAUGUAUCCCACAACUUCCGAAUAUGUUCAAGUUGCAAAGAUGCUGAUCCUUUCCUUAAGGAUCUCGAGAGAAAUGGUUAUCACACAUGGCACAUGUCUCUGAGGCGUAAAUUCAAGUGGGAGCGUGCACCUCUGGUUGACAACAGUGAAGUGAGAGGUAGCAAGGAGAAGUUUGGCCACAAAAAAUCAAAGCAACUUGUAGAAACAGCAAGGAGCUGUCAGAGAAAUGUGUUAAAGGCGUCAAGUGUUGUGGGUGAGGAUCCAUCCUCCAUUGAGGCUCACGUGAAGGUCUUGCAUAGCCAGUUGCAGAAGAUGCAACCUGACUUCAGGAUUGUACAGGACCGAACGCAGCAGACAUUUCCAUGGCGGCAAAAGGAGAUUGCUGAUGGCAUGACCUGUAGAGGACACAGUUAAGAAGUACCCUUUCUUAAGGACACCCACCGGAGGCAGCCCUCAUCUUUCUGCCUUACAUCUUCAAGGAGAACAUUGAUCGCUUUAUUACACUUGGAGAGACUGAUCUUGACAGCCCAUACCCAACUAUUCAGUUGACCGACCGAGACUGGAAAAUGGCCUUUGCCUUGUGUGUCGCAACUCAGGAGGAAUCAACAAAGGAAUCAUCUCAGCCUUCUGCACAUACUUCGUGUUCAAUCUUGCAUAUCCAAGACAUCUGAAGAACACUCUGAUGUUUCUCCAAACGUACAUUGCCAAAACAGUUGUGGACAGCCUCUGCCAAUAACUGUCACUAGGCAAAUAAAACUCCACCAUGCCUAAUUCAGUACACAGGACUCAUUCAUGCCCAUGAAGCCAAUUUCACUAUUGCAUGUGGACUAAUGACACACAGAACGUGUUUUACAUCCUGACAAUGAUGAUGACAACGAUGGAAAUACUGAGGUAGUUGAUGAAGAUUUUGAUCAGCCUAGGACACACACUGUCACUGAAAAUCCUCCAUGUAUGGAUGAGCUGUUAAAGAAUUUCAAAGAAAAUCUUUUCAAGUUCAUUCUGAAAUGCAGAGAGAAAAAUCACCUACCAUUGCCAGUUCAAGAAGAAAGCAGAAAAGUGGUUUUGACAUGUCACAAAGUCCAGAACUGAAAAGAGUUAUACAUUCUAAUGAUUUUUUUACGGGCACUUUCUCAAAUUCACCCAGCAGACUCCCACAAAACUGCCAGCACUGUCUGAGCUGGUGUCUGUUGCUCAGUGAAAUGUUUCCAAAAUUUCUGCUGUUAUGGGCAACCAUUUUAAAAUAUUGGUACUUGGACUCAAAUCUCAUGCACCAUAGCAAAGGCAUGGGCCCAUACAUUUGUAUCAGUCUUGAAUAAUGAAUUAAGUAAUGACACUUUAGAGUAAUAACACCCCCAAACACAUCUUUCAUUUCUGUCAGGAACUCUUGAACAAGUACAUUUAACAAAAAAAGGUUCUGUCCUCACCUUUGGAGCCAUAACGAUCUCAGUAAUCUCUCGACACAAUGGAAAAACAUGGCAAUAUUUACAAUCAUGUGGCACACGGUGGGCCAUUAGAAAAGGCAAAAGCCUGAAAAGGCAUCACUUUUGAGAAGCAGAUCCAGUAAUACCAACAUGCUGCAGUCUUUCUGAUAACUACUGGUUUGUUUACCUUGUCAUGUUCACCAAUGCACAGUUUUUGUAGUUCUUCAUUUAUUUAUUUUAUAGUUAUGUUUCUGUGUAUGAGCUUAACCAAUAACUAGCUUCAUAACAAGUGGAAUUACACCCUCUAACAAAUCGUGCAUUAUGUCCAGUGGUAAAGCUUUUGUCACAUCAAAAUAUUGCAACUCUUCAAAAGGUGAAGGGCCAUUCACACCAUAAGUCACUUUGUCAUCAGUAAUUUGUUGAAUGCGGGCAAGAUGACACUGAUGAACCUCAGAUGUUCUUAAAACAAAGCUGUAUUCCUCAAACAUGUGUUUUAUAUCUCCAUAAGAAGCCAUGCAAUAAUGACAAAUUCUACCAGAGUUACAUUUUCAGCACAUAUCAAUGGGUACAUACGAAUAGGAGCCCACUACAGAGUCCCUUUACUCAAAAUGGACAGGUUCCGUCAUGUUAAGCUUGGAUUUACAAUGGUCUUUUAUCAUGUAUGGAGAUCGAAUAGCUUUUGAGGCCUCAUCAAAAAAAUCAUUAGAAUGUAUAACCCUUUGACUUUGUGACAUGUCAAAACCACUUUUCUGAAGGUGGUAAGCUAUAAAAGCAUCGUAGUUCUCCUUAAAAAAACACAGUAAGAAAUUAACAUCAACAAUUUCUUCUUGAAAUGACAAUGGUAGGUGAUUUUUCUCUCCAUUUUUUUUCUUUACCUGUGGAGCUGCAGAGAGCCACAACCUCUGUGAUGUAGAUCUAACAGAGAAAGCGAUCUGUGUGUCUGAAGUAACAGUCAACAAUGUGAAGUAUGCUGUCAGAGAUGUAUUUGUCAUAGAUGUACUGCACUCUGAGUGUAUUCCAUUGUUUUGGCAAAUCAAGUACAUCUUUAACAUAGACACCAUGUGGAUCCUUGACCGUCACUUUCAUGCAUGCAGUGUCACGGUUGAUAAAGAAUGGACUUUACUGAAAUGGACUUUCAGGCAAAUGACACUUGCUCAAUUGAUGAUAAUUUAUGUCACAGUUAGACGU